GCCAGCCCUUGGUCUUCCCUGCUCUCCGGGGCACUGGCUCCUGCCAGCUCCUCACGCCCCCAGGUCUAUGCAGAGCCUGGGGCCUGGAUAGCGUCCGACAGCAGGUUUUAGACUGUACAUCAGAGUGUUCCGCGGGGUGUAGGAGAACCCGGGAAACCCCUCCCACCCUCCAGGCCUCCAGGGUAAGGCCACCAGAUUCAGCAAAUGAAGUUUCAGGAAGCUAAAUCUGAAUUUCAGAUAAACAACAAAUGAUGUUUAGGAUACCCUGUCUCACGGGUACCCUGCCUCACGGGUAACCUGUCUCACGGGUACCCUGCCUCACGGGUACCCUGUCUCAUGCAUUAUUUAAGGUAGAGUUAUACUAAAAACUUAGGGUGUCCUUCUGAUAUUAAGGUUCUCUGCAGAGGCCGGCUUUGUAUCUGACCACCUUUCUCUCAGGCCUCCAGCCUGUCCCCAGCGGUGGCCCUGGGAACUCCUAGGAGCUUCACGACACUGAGUACAAACCAGUGCCCUCUCUGGACUCCUCCUCAAGUGGGCAAGUGAUCCCACAGGUCACACUGUCUUCCAGAGGGGCUUACAGCCAAUAGCAGCAGACAAAAGAGUAUAGUCAGGUCUCCUGACUUACCCACUGGCCAUCUGUCUGUCUAUCAAUAUACCCAUCCAUCCAUCCAUCCAUCCAUCCACUUACCUACCUAUCCAUCCAUCAAUCCAUUGAUCCAUCCAUCCACCCAUCCACCCACUAUUAAUUCAUCUAUCAAACUAUUUACUCUCCCACUCUCCCAUCCAUCCAUCUAUCCAUCCAGUUAGCCAGCCGUCUAGCCGUCCAUCCAUCUGUCCACCAUCAUCUACCCAUCCACUCACCUUUCCAUCCAUCCAUCCAUUGAUCCAUCAAUCCAUAGAUCCAUCCAUCUACCCAUCAACCCACUAUGAAUUAAUCUAUCAAACUGUUUACUCUCCCACUCUCCCAAUCAUCCAUCCAUCCACCCAUCUACCAUCCACUCACCUAUCCAUCCAUCUAUCCAUCCAUCCAGCCAGCCAGCCAGAGAGCAAACAUUUAUCCAGAACCCACCAGGCUCUGGGCCUUGUAUAAGCUCCUGAGAGAACAGAAAUGAACAAGGUGGGUUUAAGUCCCCCGUGGUCUUCAUGAGCUUCUGGGGGAGCAGAUCAUAGCCCAGCAAGUGUCCUGGGGUAAGGGUAUGAUCCAGUGGGUGUAGAGCCUGUGCAGGGGAUACAAGCCCCCAUGUGGGGAGGGGCUGUCCCUGAAGGGGGUGCCUAGGCUGCAUCCUAAAGAGGAGAAACAUCUGCUGAGAAAAGUUCUCAGGGCAGUGGACCUGCAGGUGCCUGUAGCCCCGAGAAGUGCUGAGUCGGGGUCGGUUUCUGUCCCCACACGUACCCCAGUCUACACUCACACAACAUGGCACAGGGCCAGGUCUCUACUGAGUACCACUGCUGUUUCUGGAUCAGAGGGUUCUUUGUUGAGUCACCUCCCCAGCCUCUACCCCCAGAUACAACAGAGAAACAGACAGCACUCUGCACAUUGCCAAACACCUCCCGGGGAAUCUCGCCUAUCGAGAACCCGUCUUAGAGGCUGCUGCUGCGGGGCAAAGACCAAAGCAAGUGUGGGCUUCUCUUUCCAGGAGGUUCUAGAAGUUUCUUCCAGAAACUCAGGGACGCUGGAGUGAGUGUGUGAGUGAUUAAACAAAAAUCUGUUUCAACACUGCCCGACGGGAACACAAGCCAAGGCCUGGCAGUGUGUAACUAUCGCACAAAGGGUUAACCCCACGGACAAGACGGCUGCUCUUAAAUGUAUCUCAAUCACAGAUCUGUAUGUGCAUAUCAGCAGUCAGUGGCAUAUUGAAUUUUUUCACACUGUUUACCUAGCAUAAUUUGCAGUUGGUCUGUAUUUGAUUAAACACCAUCAUCUUUUAUGUACGAGUUACAUAAGUAAAUAGAAAAAUCAUUUAC
rnacentral:lncRNA from 1 species